rnacentral:rRNA from 1 species
UACGGGGGGGGCAAGCGUUGUUCGGAAUUACUGGGCGUAAAGGGCUCGUAGGCGGCCAACUAAGUCGGAUGUGAAAUCCCCAGGCUUAACCUGGGAACUGCAUCCGAUACUGGAUGGCUUGAAUCCGGGAGAGGGAUGCAGAAUUCCAGGUGUAGCGGUGAAAUGCGUAGAUAUCGGGAGGAACACCUGAGGCGAAGGCGGGCUACUGGGCCGAUACUGACGCUGAUGCGCGAAAGCCAGGGGAGCAAACGGG